AUGGAACUUGUCCAAGUAGCGUUCGAAACGCCCGCCCCGCGAGUCUCUCCUGACCAAACGCGACACGGAGCUCCACACUGACCGCUGCCUCUCAAACGGAAGACUGUACAAAAGAGAAAAGAUUUAUGGUGGACUGCAGGCUCUUACUAUAUGUGGAGAUAAAUCUCAUUCAUCGCUUUUUGGGGCAUGAUAAACUUGUAUUUAUCAACCCACGAGGACAUUUGUUGAUUUUACAAAAACCCCUUCAAACUGGGACGACUGAUUGGAAUAAACCAGCAGGAUUCGGGGUGAAGGAAGGGAAGAGGGAUUAGGGGCUUAUCCUGAACAUGACCAAUCCUUAAGGAGCCUCCGUCAAGCCGUAGGCUACUAUUGCCCAGAUAAUUACAUUUAAUUUAUUGCCUUUAAAGACCCUUUAUCUCCCCCUGGAGAUUCCUGGCGAGUGGGCCGUUGGAUUUGAGUAUCUUUAAAAACAAAGGAUCAGGAGCAGAGGCCAGUGGGAGUGGAGGAGCAUGAGGAGAGUAUACAUGCAGGGAUAAAGCAACAAGCCUCCCUGUCGCCUUAGCAGGGUGCAGGUCAAAGGUUACUGAAUGAACUUGUAUUGGAAAAGCAUGCGAUCUCAUUGAUUACACAAGUCUGAUUAAGAGCAUGUAGCAGCAGACUCUCUGGACCUUACUAAAGAAGGAGCACAUGGUUUCAGUCCUAAACCACACAUCUGCAGUCUGAGUUGAAUUUAUUUCUGAACUGAUUUUUUUUUUUUUUUUU